UUUAAUGAGAGUUUGAUCCUGGCUCAGGACGAACGCUGGCGGCGUGCCUAAUACAUGCAAGUAGAACGCUGAGGUUUGGUGUUUACACUAGACUGAUGAGUUGCGAACGGGUGAGUAACGCGUAGGUAACCUGCCUCAUAGCGGGGGAUAACUAUUGGAAACGAUAGCUAAUACCGCAUAAGAGUAAUUAACACAUGUUAGUUAUUUAAAAGGAGCAAUUGCUUCACUGUGAGAUGGACCUGCGUUGUAUUAGCUAGUUGGUGAGGUAAAGGCUCACCAAGGCGACGAUACAUAGCCGACCUGAGAGGGUGAUCGGCCACACUGGGACUGAGACACGGCCCAGACUCCUACGGGAGGC
rnacentral:rRNA from 1 species